rnacentral:rRNA from 1 species
AGUUCGAUUAUGGCUCAGAUUGAAACGCUGGCGGAUACACAUGCAAGUCGAACGGCAGCAUCGACUUCGGUCUGGUGGCGAGGCGAAUCUGGGGUGAGUAAUGUGGUCUCCGAACGUGCCUAGUAGCGGGGGAUAACUACGCGAAAGCGUAGCUAGCCCGCAUGCCGCCCUUCGGGGAAAGCGGGGACCUUCGCCUUCGCACUAUUAGAGCGGCCGAUAUCGGAUUAGCUAGUUGGUGGGGUAACGGUCACCAAGGCGACGAUCCGUAGCUGGUUUGAGAGGACGACCAGCCACACUGGGACUGAGACACGGCCCAGACUCCUACGGAGGCAGCAGUGGGAAUUCUGGACAAUGGGGAACCCCGAUCCAGCCAUCCCGCGUGCGAUGGGAAGGCUCUCGGGUUGUAAAGCACUUUUGGUGGAGGUAAAGAAAUCUGUCGGGACUAAUACCCCGCAACUGACGGUACCAGACAACAAGCACCGGCUAACUACGUGCCAGCAGCCGCGGUAAUACGUAAAGUGCGCUGCUAAUCGGAAUUACUGGGCGUAAGCGUGCGUGCAGGCGGUUCGGAAAGAAAGAUGUGAAAUCCCAGAGCCAUCCUUUGGAACUGGCCGCUAACUGGCCGAGCUAGAGUGUCAGAGGGAUAGACUCCGCGUAGCAGUGGAACGCGAUAUGUGGAGGAACACCGAUGGCGAAGGCAGCCUCCCGGGGAUAACACUGAUUAGUGCACGAAAGCGUGAGCAAACAGGAUUAGAUAUCCUGGUAGUCCACGCCCCAAACGAUGUCAUCCAGCUGCUGGGGCCUUGGCCCGGGUAGCGCAGCUAACGCGUGAAGUUGACCGCCUGGGGAGUACGAUCGCAAGAUUAAAACCGCGCGAAUUGACGGGGACCGCACAAGCGGUGGAUGAUGUGGAUUUUACCCGAUGCACCACAAAAAACUUACCUACCCUUUAGGCGUCUGGAAUCCCGAAGAGAUUUGGGAGUGCCUGCAAGAGAACCGGAACACAGGCAAAGCCGUAUGGCUGCCGUCAGUUUCGCCGAGAUGUUGCUGAAGUCUCAUAACGAGCGCAACCUCAUUAGUUGCUACGAAAGGGCACUCUAUCGAGACUGCCGGUGACAAACCGGAGGAAGGUGCGAUGACGUCAAGUCCUCAUGGCCCUUAUGGGUGGUGGGCUUCACACUACAGCACAAUGGUCGGGACAGAGGGUCGCCAACCCGGCGAGGGGGAGCCAAUCCCAGAAACCCGAUCGUAGUCCGGAUCGCAGUCUGUAACCGGACUGCGUGAAGUCGGAAUUCGCUAGUAAAUGCGGAUCAGCAUGUCGCGGUGAAUACGUUCCCGGGUCUUUGGUACACUGCCCGUCACACCAUGGGAGUGGGUUUUACCAGAAGUAGUUAGCCUAACCGUAAGGAGGGCGAUUACCACGGUAGGAUUCAUGACUGGGGUGAAGUCGUAACAAGGUGC